rnacentral:rRNA from 1 species
AUGAAACUCUAUGAUCAGUAUUUGUCUAGUCACCCCACUGUCCCUUCUUCUUCAAUCCAUACAGAAUUAGACUUGUAUUUGGAAGAAGCUUGUCUACCUAGAACACAAGAAUUGGAUAUCAUCAAUUGGUGGAAGGUUAGCGGCUCGAGGUUUCCUCCCUUGCAAAAACUUGCUCGUGAUAUAUUGCCUAUUCCCAUAACAUCAGUGGCUUCCGAAUGUGCGUUCAGCACUAGUGGCAGAGUACUCAGUGCACAUCGUAGUAGACUUACUCCUAAUGUGGCUGAAGCUCUCAUGUGCAUGCAAGCUUGGUCUUGUGCAGAUCUGUUAGGUAAUACGUUUUUCACUUGCACUUGUUUUUUAUUUUGCAAAGAACUCGCCAUUUACAUACAAAUGUUGGUUAUUUCAUCAGGUGGUUGGAAUUCUACACUCUUUUCGACAUUUCAGAGUGUUCUCGAGGAUGAAGAAGAGGAGAUGGAUGAGUCUACUUCAAUCAUCACCCAAGAGUGA